AGCCGGGUCCUGCACAACAGAGGCUCAUGAACCCCGCCAGGUCCGGAAGGAAGCAACGGUAGUGAGUACCGCUGUGUGUUGCAGGGCGCCCGGCUAUC
rnacentral:SRP_RNA from 3 species